UGUUUAGUGGAUUAGUCCAUUAUACCCAAAGAGAUCGCUUCCUUGGUAAGGAAGAGGCCGCGAGUUCGAAUCUCGCCUGGGGCUCCA
rnacentral:tRNA from 1 species